UCUUGUCUACUAGCUUCAAUAUGAAUCCGAUUAAAUGUGAUAGGGUGAAGGCCCCAGUGCAGCAGCAACAGCACAUGAUGGAGACGAUGAUGAGGAGGAGACCAUCUCUCUGGAUUCCAGAAGGCAUGAGGACCCAGAUGCUAUACAGUGGGAAAACCAGCCUGGCAACAGUGCGUAUUAAUAAAAGGACACCACAUCCUGCCAAAUUCCAGCUGCGCUAAUUGUAUUGUGUUCACAGAGCUCACAAGCUAUCAGAAAGUUGUAUGGCAACCACCUCCGGCGCCAAAUAGAACUGGCAGACACAGACAUUCAGUACAAGAAGAAAAAGAUGGAAAAUCUUGCACUGGAGUCCGAAAUAAAAAAGAGGACAAUUAGGAAACUGGACCUUGAAAUAAAAAAACUUGAGAGGGAGCUCCAAGAAGAUGACACAGCUCAAAAUAAAAAUUAGGUAUAUUCUCGUAAAGUCAAGUGAGCCAUGACAUAUGAGCUCUUAUUGUGAGCACACAGGACGGUGGCAUCUUUCUAAGGUUUUUUUAUUUUCCCAGCAAUCAGUACAACCAAGUCAUCGUUAUAAGGCA